GUGUCAGCAGCCGCGGUAAUACAGAGGGUGCGAGCGUUAAUCGGAUUUACUGGGCGUAAAGCGUGUGUAGGUGGCUUCCUAAGUCGGUUGUGAAAUCCCUGGGCUCAACCUGGGAAUUGCAGUCGAUACUGGGAAGCUCGAGUUCGGUAGAGGACGGCGGAAUUCCCGGUGUAGCGGUGAAAUGCGUAGAUAUCGGGAGGAACAUCGAUGGCGAAAGCAACCGUCUGGGCCUGAACUGACACUGAGACACGAAAGCGUGGGGAGCAAACAGGAUUAGAAACCCCCGUAGUCC
rnacentral:rRNA from 1 species